CACGUAGGGGGCGAGCGUUGUCCGGAUUUAUUGGGCGUAAAGAGCUCGUAGGCGGUUCGGCAAGUCAGCUGUGAAAUCUCCACGCUCAACGCGGAGGGGUCAGCUGAUACUGCUGUGACUUGAGUCCGGUAGGGGAGUGUGGAAUUCCCGGUGUAGCGGUGAAAUGCGCAGAUAUCAGGAGGAACACCGGUGGCGAAGGCGGGUCUCUGGGCCGUAACUGACGCUGAGGAGCGAAAGCGUGGGGAGCGAACAGG
rnacentral:rRNA from 1 species